UAAAUAUUGUAGUAUCCACUCCGCUCUUCAGUUUCGCCUUAACUCCGGAAUAAAGCUCUUCGUUCUGCCUUCAGGUCUCACUGUUAUCAAUUAUCUGGAGAAUAAUGGCUGUUUCUGUUAAAUUGAUGUCUCUUACUGUUGGAACUUUGGGUGUAAUAUCCUUUAUAUUUGGAAUCGUUGCCGAAAACAAGAAGCCUGCAUCUGGAACUCUCAUCCCAGGCAAAGGCCUUGUUAUCUGUAAAUAUCCAGGCGACCCGACGGUUGCCUUGGGAUUUCUAUCUUUUCUGUUUCUUCUGGCUUCUUCCAUUGCGGGAUACACCUCUCUGUUCUAUCCUUACCAAGGAAAAUCGGUUCCUCGAGGAGCGAUGUUUAAGAAUGGUAGUUUCUCUGUGUUCUUCAACGUUGCUCAAUUCACAACUGGGUUAGCUAUUGCUUUGCUCGUAUGGCCCACGGUCACGGAGCAACUUCACUUGACGCGUAACAUUCAUCACAAUGAUGUGACAAAGUGCCCGACCGCUAAGACCGGUCUUCUAGGUGGCGGUGCAUUUCUAUCCCUGGAUUCAUGCCUCUUUUGGCUGGUUGCUCUGAUGUUGGCUGGUAAUGCACGAGAAGACUACUUUAAUGAAAUAGAAGAAGAAGAAAGCAAUGCUCAAGCUCUCAAGAGCAGUGCAUGAAGCUCCUCUUUUUGGUGAGAAUAAUAAAUUUUGUCUCUUUACUAUGGGUUUUUAGUUGUUAUUAGGCAGGGAUUUAUCCGUGAGUAUGGUAUUCUUCUUUGGAAUUUUACUGUUAAGUUGCAGGCUCUUAAUCCAUCCUAAUGGUGCACUUAGGUCAACCUUAGUUACAAUUCUAGUGCUCAACUUUCUCGGUUUAGUUAGGCUUGGUCUCGGCAUUUUUGCGUCUUUUUUCAAUUGGAUGAAGCAGAUAUUCGAACAUUCGACUUUUAGAUACAUAUAUAGUGUCUUAGGACAUGUUUGAUGGGUAGUUUGAAUUCGAUCUUGUAUUUACAAAUUCACUUAGAUCGGUGAAUAUGUACUUUGUAGACGCGUUGUUUUAAACUAUUUUUCGAAUUUUGUGA